rnacentral:lncRNA from 1 species
CUCUAUGAAUGCUCUAUCUGUGCACCAAACAGUAUCUUUGCUGUGUGGUGAGGACAGUUUUGUAUAUAUUUACUAGUUCAAGAUUACUAAUUAUAUUGAUCAAGGGUUGAGGAUCUUUGCUAAGUUUUGUCAGCUUGAGCUGUUAAUUUUAUUUUAAUGAAAACCUGGGGGCAGGGCAUUUAGCUCAGUGGUUCCAGCGCCUGCCUCAAAAGCGCAAGGUCCCAAGUUCAAUCCCCGAUACCAAAAAAAAACCCCUGAAUUAUAAGCUAAAGAUGUAGCUCAGAUUUAGAGCUUUUCUAGCAUGCACAAACCCUGAUGUGAUCCCCAGCACCACACACACACUCACACGCACACUCACACGAUCUCCAGUUACAAUUGGAGGAUUGUACUUCUCCCCUCGGCCCUGCAGAUGUUGCUGGGGCUCACUUUGCACGAAGCCUGCCACAGCAGCUGUAGGGCUGUGGCUCCAAACGCAAGCCCCACUGACCACCAGCCCCAGCUGCUGCCCUUGGGAUCCCCCUUGGUAUUAAAGCAUGGCCACCUCCUCCUGGCCACUCCCAGUCAAAGGUGGGGUGCAGCAGGGUCCUCGUGCUGACCUUUCCCGCCCACUGCCAACUCCUCUGCUGGACAGUGCCAUCAGGACCUGAAACAGCCUGGCCAGGACCUCUGGGAAAGGGACCCUGGCCUGGGACCAUCCACCCCGGCCUCCUCCAGCAUCUGUCUCCAUGCGCUGCCUCCUGUCAAUCAUAGGCACAACCCCCACCUCAGCCCAUCUCAGCCUCCGCUUCUCAGAGGGCUGCUCACGCUCACCCUGGGAACGUGUCUCUCUCCAUGUCCUCAGGGGCCCAAGGCAGGACAAAGGCACAGGUCCAGGACACAGAGCGGCCUCCAGGGCUCGAGGACCCUGCUCCCCUCUGUCCCAAGGCCUCUCUUGCUCUGCACUUGCUGUGUGGGGUGUUUCUGAUUUGCUAUUUGAUGUCAUUCUUAGUAAAGAAAAAUUAAAAUUUUGACAUUGCUAGCAUGAGUUUUACCCUUCAUUUUUAAAGUGUAGAGUGCCAUUGUAGAUGCACAGAUAAGAGCAGAAACAUGGAGAUUCCAC